CAGCAUCACAAUUGUCAUCAGCAUCAGCAUCACAAUUGUCAUCAGCAUCAGCAUCAGCAUCACCAUUGUUAUCAGCAUCAGCAUCACCAUUGUCAUCAGCAUCAGCAUCAGCAUCACCAUUGUCAUCAGCAUCAGCAUCACAAUUGUCAUCAGCAUCAGCAUCAGCAUCACCAUUGUUAUCAGCAUCAGCAGCACAAUUGUCAUCAGCAUCAGCAUCAGCAUCACAAUUGUCAUCAGCAUCAGCAUCACCAUUGUCAUCAGCAUCAGCAUCAGCAUCACCAUUUUCACCAUGAUAGCUUCACCAUCACCAUCACUACCACCACCACCAUCACUGAGACAGUUACUCUCACUUGUUCACAUGACUGGAUUAAGAGAUGCCUAGAGAGAUGAUGGUUUGUGAGGAUGUUAACCUCACACUGAUGAGGUGAAUGGUCUGAGAGAAGAGGGGCCUCCCUGGAGGAAGUCUAAAGGCAAUGGAGCCAGUGGGUCAUGGACUGAAACCUCUGAAACUAUGAGCCAAAAUAAACCUUUUCUUCUUUAAGUUGUUUCUGUCGGGUAUUUGUCAGAGUGACUAAAAACCAACCCAGUCACUAUCACCAUCAUUAUUAUCACCAUCACCAGCAUCACCAUCUCUUCCAUCAUCACUAUCAUCAUCUUCAUCACGAUCAUCACCAUAAUUACUGUCACUGCUACCGUCCACGCCAACACCAUAUCACAUCGCCAUUAUCAUCAUCGUCAUCAUGAUCAUCACCUUCUCACCAUCACCAUUAUCAUCUUCAUGACCACCCUCAUUGUCACCAUCACUGCCACCAUCCACAUCGUCACCACACUCACUGUUGCCAUCCGUCAUCACCAUCACCAUCCUGGCUCCAGGUAAAAACAUAAGAGCGUUCAUGGACUCAUAAAUUCUUAAACUGGAAAAGACCUCAGAUAUCCACCAGCUUUCAACCUUCCUCACCGAGGAAGAAGGAGAAACUCAGGGAGAAGAAGGUUUACGGCCACCUUCUACGCCUUACCUGAAUUACUGCUGCCUACCUGUAGGAAGAGAACACCAGUGAUCUGCCAAAAUUCAUGCUUUGCCAUCAACAAUAUGGAAAAGAAGUGUAUUCCCUACAGUCCUGGAGGUGUUGACUCUAGCCAACUUCCUCUUGAUGGACACUUGUGUCGACUCCGGCAUUGUAUAUGAACAAAGCUGCUAUGAACACCCUUCUCCACUUCUGUUUAUGAACUUAUUUCUUGGGGUACAGACCCAGAAGUAGAACUGCUGAGUUCUGGGAUGUAACAUUUGUCCCUCUUUAACAGAUAAUAACAAACAGUAUCUCAAAGCACUGACAGCCUUUCUCUCCCACCAACUUUAGGAUGAUUCUUGUCACUCUUUCUCCCCUAGAAUAAAUACUGCAUUACCCUCUUUUACACCC
rnacentral:lncRNA from 1 species